GUGCAGUCAAUGCAAUGUUCAUAUUCAUUUUCUUUCUGUUAUUCAUAUUUAUUCAGGAUGGGCGACUCCACCUAUGUUUCAAGCCCCGCCCCUCCAGCCACCUUCCAGUGGAGGACAGCCUACCCAGAAUAGUCCAAACUCUUCUACCAGUAGUGCACCUAAAGGAAGGUCCAGGGACAUGUCUGCCUGGUUUAACCUCUUUGCAGAUCUGGACCCUCUGUCCAACCCAGAUGCUAUUGGGCGCAGUGAUCAGGAGUUCCUCAAUGCCUGAGAUGUGUUUUUUGAAGGAUGGUAUGGAGCUGAUCACUUCCCAGAUAUUCUUUGCCGGAAAGGAGUGCAUAUCCCAAGCCUUUAUUCGGAGCUGGAACACUACCUCUCCUGAAACCGUUCAACCUGAGCCAAGGAAGCAUCCAGAAAUUUCUAUUCAUAUCCAACACUGAAAGGUUUCUGAGAUAUGGGAAUGUCUCUCUUUUCUCCAUUCUUUCAUUGUGUGCGUGAAUUUACUGUAUGUUCAUUCGGUCAGGACACCGAAGGGUAAAAUGUUGAAGACUUCAUCUCUAUAUCACUAUAGUGUUGUUACCUGAGAGUAAAGUAUCAGUUACUUUCUGAAGUGCACAUGUUUAAAGGGACUUUGCCCAUCUUGUAUGUGGGGGGGCUGUUUUGCCUAGGACCAAAAAAAGAAAUA